rnacentral:rRNA from 1 species
AAUAUUGGUCAAUGGGCGCAAGCCUGAACCAGCCAUGCCGCGUGCAGGAUGAAGCAUCUAUGGUGUGUAAACUGCUUUUGUACGGGAAGAAACAGCUCUUCGUGAAGAGCCUUGACGGUACCGUAAGAAUAAGGAUCGGCUAACUCCGUGCCAGCAGCCGCGGUAAUACGGAGGAUCCAAGCGUUAUCCGGAAUCAUUGGGUUUAAAGGGUCCGUAGGCGGUUUUAUAAGUCAGUGGUGAAAUCCGGCAGCUCAACUGUCGAACUGCCAUUGAUACUGUAGGACUUGAAUUAUUAUGAAGUAACUAGAAUAUGUAGUGUAGCGGUGAAAUGCUUAGAUAUUACAUGGAAUACCAAUUGCGAAGGCAGGUUACUAAUAAUGGAUUGACGCUGAUGGACGAAAGCGUGGGGAGC